GACGAACGCUGGCGGCGUGCUUAACACAUGCAAGUCGAACGAGGUCCAACCGGUGGCAACACCGGUGACGACCGAGUGGCGAACGGGUGAGUAACACGUGAGCAACCUGCCCCGAAGACCGGGAUAACAGCGGGAAACCGCUGCUAAUACCGGAUACCCCCACCAGGUCGCAUGGCCCGGUGAGGAAAGGAUCCUGCUUCGGGAGGGGCUCGCGGCCUAUCAGCUUGUUGGUGGGGUAACGGCCCACCAAGGCGACGACGGGUAGCUGGUCUGAGAG
rnacentral:rRNA from 1 species